AUUUGAAGAGAAUAGCACUGGUAAAGUACAAGAAGUACAUAUCAUCGUUUAAAUAACUAUGAGUGAUGCUGAUCAUUUACUUUACCAUACAACUUUAAUUAUGAUCAUCAGUGUACUUGUACAAUAGUAGACAUAUUUGAUAUUUUGUUUUCAACAUUUUGUAUACAUUUUUCUACUAAAUUAUUAGAUAUUACUAUUUAUUUUAUUAUUAUAAUCACCACAUAUUAUCUAUUAAUUUUUUCUCUGCCAAUUUCUCCAAUCAUAGCCAAAAUAUCUCGAGUACUAAUUUCUGUUUUUAUCCUCAUAUGUGCAAUCUAUCGCACAAUAAUAAUCAGGGCAGGCUGUGAUGAUUCAAAUUGACACGAACGUGUACGUUAAGUAACGUAUUGCUAUGAUAUUAUUUAGCUCGUGUCGUUAGUAAUAAAAAAUAAUUUUUAUCCCAAACUUAUGAACGAAGUAUCUCGUAUUAUUGGAACAAAAAAAUCGUGGAAAAUGUUUCGUUUAUAGCGGAAACAACAUCGAGUAAGAAAAUAUAUCUCGCGCGUAGAUGCGAAAAGUUUAAUCAUGCUGUUUCGAAAUACUCGUCGAUUGGAAAUAUACAUGUUGUCAUCUGGCUAAGAUGAUUCACAUGUUUGUUCCUCGUCGCUCUUUAGUCGUCUUUUCUAACUGACCAUAGCAAAGCGAAGAACUCUGUAUUGCAACGAAAUACAAAUUGUGACACGUAAAUAGAAUAAUAUACAUGCGCAAUGAAAUUUAAAGGAACGUUGAAAUAUUUUAAGUUACGUUCGAAAGCAUUCGCAAAAUUAUGCGAAAUAAGAACUGUUGGGAUAUCAAAAGAGAAUAAUACGCUGACAUCUGUUUAACCUUGCGUGGUCGCAGAUUUAAUACGUUCGAGUAUUCCCGAAGAGCGCUGGGAAGCUGAGGAUUAAACCUUCAAACGGAGACCUACGCUUUUUUAUCGCACAUUCUUGCAGCUAACGUCGCAGAACGUGUUCCAUUUCCCAUUACCUAAGCAUAGAUACGCGCGCUUUUCACACAAGCUGUUCCAACGUAUGAAUUUUCAACGAUGAUAUCAUAGAACAUUGAUAAAAAAUCUAUUUGCAUUGAUAAAGAUUACCAACAUAUAUGUACGUUGAAGGCGUUUGGAAAGUCGAAGCUCGUGGUGCACAGGAGAUCAGUGAAUUGUAACAUAAACGUUAGAUCUAAUCUUUAAUCCUUUGCACUCCUAUGUCGAGUCCCACUCGACAUUUUUUCAGUUCCAUCUUUCUUUGUGCAACGUGCAAGAGAAAAGGAAAAUUGUGGAAAUUGUUUGAAGAUAUAUCAUACACUUAAAAAUGGCAAAAUACAAAAAUAAUUCAAAGUAAAUUUCAAAUAAAACGCUUAAAAGCGUUGGCAGCUGCUGGUAACGAAAUUGGAAUAAAAUUCCGAGUGCAAAGGAUUAAGAAACGUUUGAAUUUGAAAGGACUCUUGAAACAUCGCUUUUUUCCAAGGAAUCAGGUAAAAUGUUGGGAUAUAAUUUAUAGUGAGAGAGAAAUCUACGCGUGUACUCUACGUAUCAGAGAUAUAUCUUUAUCGCGUCGGAUAAAUUAACUCGCAGUAACAAUGUAAUUAAGAAGUAAAUCUCGUAAUAAAUCUCGCUCAAUUUCUCUACCAAAGAUUAAGAGGUGUAGCAAAAAGAUGGUAAAUUUAGAUAUAAACCUGCAAACUGUACGACGUUGCUAAUGGCCUUGGAUAUUGAAGCAACGUUAAAGCGAACAGAAAAAGCGAAUAAAGUAAUGAGAAUGAAACGCUGUUAUAAUUAUGAGAAAGUGGAAAUUUUAAAAGAAGAUCGGGUAUUUGCAAUUGUUUGCUAUAAAUGUGAACGCUAAGAUGCAGCUGCAAUUUUGUCAAGUCUUGUUUAAGUUUGUCUACAUGGAAGAUAUGCUUUUACCUAAAAGGUCACAUACCAUUCGAACAAUAAUUACAAUUUAUUAUGUAUAUUAUUAUUGUAUAUACGAAUAAUUAUAUGUCAUAUGAUGAUAUUAUUUAUAAUUUUAUAUUUAUAAUUUAAGAACGUAUUACAUACGUUUUCUACAUAUUUUUGCCACAUCUUUGGUAUCGAGUUCUGCCGUGGCUGCAGUAGACGCAACGCUUUUCAAAUACAUUUCAUGCGCAUGAUCGCAAUCUUCGACGAUUAGUAUCAUUUCAGACUGCACAAAUGCUACCUAUGAUGGAGUAAUUUACAUGCAGAUAAAUUCAAAUAAAUCACAGCGGAAACAAGUUGCAUAUCAAGAACGAACGACGUCUACAGCGUCGAGCACUUUGAACCUCUUGUUUUUCCACGUCAGUGGCGUAGUCUUUCUGUUGGUGUACUCGAACGAAACUUUUCUUAUUCCUAUGAUUUUACGUAAUGUUCUAUGCAAAAUAAAUAUAUCGUUUGAUAUUUUCUUCCGCGAGGAUGAUGCUAUGUAUUUAGUAUGGUAUUUAUAUCACGUGAUCGCGAUUAUAUCAAUACUUUCUCCGGUAAAAUUAAAUCUGUAAUCAAACUUGUCACUAUAUCAUUAAAUCUGCCUAUCAUUAAAUUGAUCUAUAAACAGUUGGCAUAGUAUUAUUUUUGAAGUCUGUAGUUUGAAAAUUAUACGCUUGGUGCUAAUUUGACAGGUAAAUUAAGCCUAUCGGCAUAAUCGAGUUUGUCUACUGUUAGAUCAACCGUCUAUUAUUAGAUCUAUUAUUAUAGCAUAAUUAACGUAUUGACGUAUUACCGUGUUUAGGGCAGCUGCGUUUUCUCAGUUACAUUUAGCAGGAUCAUGCGGGCUGUUCAAUUAUGUCGAGUUACUUUUUCAAUAACAAAAUUGAACUCUUAGGAGUUUCUUGUGUUACUUUAUCGAUACUACGGUAAAUUUAAAAAUACAGUGCUCCUUGCAUGUCUUGUAAUCUGUAUAUUAUAUACAGUAUAUAAAAUGGAUGAUUAUAAACUCAACGCUAUUUUGCGAUUCGUCAUAAUAUUAAAAUAGAAACUGACAAAACCGCCUAUGUAAUUUUACAUUACAAUAUAAUGCGAAAUUGAAGAUA